GGGUUGUGAGGUUAAGCGACUAAGCGUACACGGUGGAUGCCCUGGCAGUCAGAGGCGAUGAAGGACGUGCUAAUCUGCGAUAAGCGUCGGUAAGGUGAUAUGAACCGUUAUAACCGGCGAUUUCCGAAUGGGGAAACCCAGUGUGAUUCGUCACACUAUCAUUAACUGAAUCCAUAGGUUAAUGAGGCGAACCGGGGGAACUGAAACAUCUAAGUACCCCGAGGAAAAGAAAUCAACCGAGAUUCCCCCAGUAGCGGCGAGCGAACGGGGAGCAGCCCAGAGCCUGAAUCAGUGUGUGUGUUAGUGGAAGCGUCUGGAAAGGCGCGCGAUACAGGGUGACAGCCCCGUACACAAAAAUGCACAUGCUGUGAGCUCGAUGAGUAGGGCGGGACACGUGGUAUCCUGUCUGAAUAUGGGGGGACCAUCCUCCAAGGCUAAAUACUCCUGACUGACCGAUAGUGAACCAGUACCGUGAGGGAAAGGCGAAAAGAACCCCGGCGAGGGGAGUGAAAAAGAACCUGAAACCGUGUACGUACAAGCAGUGGGAGCACGCUUAGGCGUGUGACUGCGUACCUUUUGUAUAAUGGGUCAGCGACUUAUAUUCUGUAGCAAGGUUAACCGAAUAGGGGAGCCGAAGGGAAACCGAGUCUUAACUGGGCGUUAAGUUGCAGGGUAUAGACCCGAAACCCGGUGAUCUAGCCAUGGGCAGGUUGAAGGUUGGGUAACACUAACUGGAGGACCGAACCGACUAAUGUUGAAAAAUUAGCGGAUGACUUGUGGCUGGGGGUGAAAGGCCAAUCAAACCGGGAGAUAGCUGGUUCUCCCCGAAAGCUAUUUAGGUAGCGCCUCGUGAAUUCAUCUCCGGGGGUAGAGCACUGUUUCGGCAAGGGGGUCAUCCCGACUUACCAACCCGAUGCAAACUGCGAAUACCGGAGAAUGUUAUCACGGGAGACACACGGCGGGUGCUAACGUCCGUCGUGAAGAGGGAAACAACCCAGACCGCCAGCUAAGGUCCCAAAGUCAUGGUUAAGUGGGAAACGAUGUGGGAAGGCCCAGACAGCCAGGAUGUUGGCUUAGAAGCAGCCAUCAUUUAAAGAAAGCGUAAUAGCUCACUGGUCGAGUCGGCCUGCGCGGAAGAUGUAACGGGGCUAAACCAUGCACCGAAGCUGCGGCAGCGACGCUUAUGCGUUGUUGGGUAGGGGAGCGUUCUGUAAGCCUGUGAAGGUGUACUGUGAGGUAUGCUGGAGGUAUCAGAAGUGCGAAUGCUGACAUAAGUAACGAUAAAGCGGGUGAAAAGCCCGCUCGCCGGAAGACCAAGGGUUCCUGUCCAACGUUAAUCGGGGCAGGGUGAGUCGACCCCUAAGGCGAGGCCGAAAGGCGUAGUCGAUGGGAAACAGGUUAAUAUUCCUGUACUUGGUGUUACUGCGAAGGGGGGACGGAGAAGGCUAUGUUGGCCGGGCGACGGUUGUCCCGGUUUAAGCGUGUAGGCUGGUUUUCCAGGCAAAUCCGGAAAAUCAAGGCUGAGGCGUGAUGACGAGGCACUACGGUGCUGAAGCAACAAAUGCCCUGCUUCCAGGAAAAGCCUCUAAGCAUCAGGUAACAUCAAAUCGUACCCCAAACCGACACAGGUGGUCAGGUAGAGAAUACCAAGGCGCUUGAGAGAACUCGGGUGAAGGAACUAGGCAAAAUGGUGCCGUAACUUCGGGAGAAGGCACGCUGAUAUGUAGGUGAAGUCCCUCGCGGAUGGAGCUGAAAUCAGUCGAAGAUACCAGCUGGCUGCAACUGUUUAUUAAAAACACAGCACUGUGCAAACACGAAAGUGGACGUAUACGGUGUGACGCCUGCCCGGUGCCGGAAGGUUAAUUGAUGGGGUUAGCGCAAGCGAAGCUCUUGAUCGAAGCCCCGGUAAACGGCGGCCGUAACUAUAACGGUCCUAAGGUAGCGAAAUUCCUUGUCGGGUAAGUUCCGACCUGCACGAAUGGCGUAAUGAUGGCCAGGCUGUCUCCACCCGAGACUCAGUGAAAUUGAACUCGCUGUGAAGAUGCAGUGUACCCGCGGCAAGACGGAAAGACCCCGUGAACCUUUACUAUAGCUUGACACUGAACAUUGAGCCUUGAUGUGUAGGAUAGGUGGGAGGCUUUGAAGUGUGGACGCCAGUCUGCAUGGAGCCGACCUUGAAAUACCACCCUUUAAUGUUUGAUGUUCUAACGUGGACCCGUAAUCCGGGUUGCGGACAGUGUCUGGUGGGUAGUUUGACUGGGGCGGUCUCCUCCUAAAGAGUAACGGAGGAGCACGAAGGUUGGCUAAUCCUGGUCGGACAUCAGGAGGUUAGUGCAAUGGCAUAAGCCAGCUUGACUGCGAGCGUGACGGCGCGAGCAGGUGCGAAAGCAGGUCAUAGUGAUCCGGUGGUUCUGAAUGGAAGGGCCAUCGCUCAACGGAUAAAAGGUACUCCGGGGAUAACAGGCUGAUACCGCCCAAGAGUUCAUAUCGACGGCGGUGUUUGGCACCUCGAUGUCGGCUCAUCACAUCCUGGGGCUGAAGUAGGUCCCAAGGGUAUGGCUGUUCGCCAUUUAAAGUGGUACGCGAGCUGGGUUUAGAACGUCGUGAGACAGUUCGGUCCCUAUCUGCCGUGGGCGCUGGAGAACUGAGGGGGGCUGCUCCUAGUACGAGAGGACCGGAGUGGACGCAUCACUGGUGUUCGGGUUGUCAUGCCAAUGGCACUGCCCGGUAGCUAAAUGCGGAAGAGAUAAGUGCUGAAAGCAUCUAAGCACGAAACUUGCCCCGAGAUGAGUUCUCCCUGACUCCUUGAGAGUCCUGAAGGAACGUUGAAGACGACGACGUUGAUAGGCCGGAUGUGUAAGCGCAGCGAUGCGUUGAGCUAACCGGUACUAAUGAACCGUGAGGCUUAACCUUACAACGCCGAAGCUGUU
rnacentral:rRNA from 1 species